AGGGCAGAACUUAGCUACUGAGUUCUACCGAAGGCCAGGAUCUGAGUCAAGCACCAAGGUUAACUCCCAGGGAAGCCAAAUGUUCAUAAAAGGAAAUCUUUCCAAAUCACAAAUAUCAGGGCCUGCUAGGUAAAUUCUAGCUUCUCUGUGCCAAGGGCUGUGUUCCUACUCUCAAGCGCCACUCACUGACUGUCUGGGUGGUGCUGUGGGCUUCUGUACUUUUAGCUUCAUCAGCUGCACCUGUCCUCUUUUCCCAUAAGACGCCAGGACCCUCAGAAUCUUCCCUCUUACCAGAAAUUUGGGUUUUGGGCUGGGUCCCUGGACCGAAUUCUGACACUCUAAGUGUUUGCAGACUAUUUUGAUAGAGGUAGUGAUUAUGAUGCCAGAAAAGUGAAGCCAGUUUUUAUUAGAAUGUUGGCCAUCUUGAAUAAUCCAUUCCCCCACUUCCAUGGGACAUCUUCAAAGAGAUUUUUAAAAGACAAAUAUGAUCUCUACUAAUGAGAUAUCUUCAGAAGGUAGAAUUAAAGCAAAAUUAAUGUACACAGAAUUCCUAUUUCAAUAUAUUUAUUAUUCACAACAUUUCUACACACACACACACACACACACACACGCAUACACACACACACACACACAUUCCUGCACAGGUAAUUUAUAGUGGCUAAUCCACUCAGUACUGUGGACUUUGGUUUUAGAGAGCAUUGUUUUCAAGGGUAGUACAGAUAAUCUGCCUCCAACAUAUUCUAUUCUUAGGGCUCUAAAGUCAAAGGAGUUUGUACAGACCCCUCCCUGCUAAGGUAAUUAUGUCCUCUUCAUAUCUUGCAUGAAUGUUUGCUCUUAGAGUGAUGAUCUGAAAUAUCAACAUCCUGCAGGACCUAGUCUGGUCUGGAAGAAGAAGAGAUAUGUCAUCUCUAUGGGCUUUGAUCUUGGUAGGCAUAUUUAUUCACCAGGUACACAAAUGCAACUUUAAACCCUCAGCCACAUUUAGUAAACUAUUUCUUCAUCUGUUGCAGUCUUAUUCUGAUGGGAAAAAUUUCCUCUGUUUUUCAAGUUUAAUUUAUUAUUUUUUCAAAUUACAAGAGCAAUGCAUAUUAUUGUAACCAGAGAGAUAAUGCCAAGAUCGGUAGAGAAAAACUUAAUAAUCUCGACCUCCUAUAACCAUCUCUCUUCCCAUCCCCCUGAGGUAAUAGCAAAUGUUAACAGCCUGCUACCUCUGCACAUCUUCCUUCCUUCAUGAUUUCCCUACACACACACCCAUACACACACGUGCGCAUGCACACACACACCCACUCAAACACACGGUGUACGUCCAGGAGUCAGAAGUGGCUACAGAGAUGGAGUCUUCAUUAUUAAGAGUAAAACAACAGAAGCCUGUAUUUUGACCAGAGGCCUGGAAUCUACUACUUUGUGAAUUAGCUAAGCAGCCCCAGUUGAACGUGAACCAGCCUGGAACAGAGUGGACUGCAGAGGCAAUAAACAAGGAUGUCGUGAAGACCCUGUUUCUUUCUAGCGUGGCAUCCCAGGAUAAAAUAUACAAUUAAUAGAUACUGGAAGGCACACUUUCUGAUUAUGGAGAAACCAUCAAAUUUGGCCAUGGUUUUGCAUAGGGGCUAGGUUGGAAAUUCAACUAGAACAAUUUAAUGUCUACUGGCAAAGCUUCUUAAUUAUGGAAUGAAAGCUACCUCAAAGUGCCUGGAGGCUUGAGCUGAAUGGUGAGAUCUUCAUUGACCUGACCUCCUCUGUGCUGAAGUUUGCUGACUUGAGGAGACCUCCCCUAAGAACAGACCCUCCCCUCAGGGCUGCCUUCAGCGAUGAUGAUUGACGCUGGCAAGUCAGUCAAGUGGGAAGUUUGCAGCACACACGGCUCAAAGGACUCACCCAGUUUGCCCUGUUGGAGGAUGUUAACCUUUGCACACUAUUUUUGACAUUUAAUUUUUCCUUCCAUUUAGUGCAUGACUCUUUUUUUGUCUUUCUAGUAAAUUCAUUUAGUUAGUAUUAUUCUUUGCCUAUUUUGUCUUUUAAACUUCUGGUUUUUAAUCUUUCGUAUUUUAUAUUAUUUAUUCUUGGUGUUCAUGCUUCUUAUUCUCUUUUCUGCUAUUUUAUCUUAUUGUUGUGAUAAUAGUAUAUUUGCAGUAAGCUCCUUUUACUAACUUCAUUUAUUUCUACAUAAUGUUUUAUCUGGCUUUGACCACAACUAUAUAAGGGGACAGCAAAGUGGAGCCACAAAUGGGAAGAUUGUGAAGAGGGCCCUUGACCAAAUAAAGAGGAAACCUUUUCCCUGAAGAGGACUUUUCAGCAACCCAACUAAUUCACUCAUUUUUCUCAAAGUUGAAUUUUCUUCCACAAAAACCCCUUGACUUUGUUAUUGAGUAGAUCCUCAGGCCUAGGAAAAUAAUGUCUACAUCGACCAAGGAGAUAUCUGAACUACCAGUACUUCCUGCAGCAUCUUUGUUUUGGUUGGCCUGGGCAGGUGGUGGGGCACGGGGGUGAAGGGAGGGGUCUGAGGUGGGUAGAAAACAAGGGUAUCCCCAGGGCUAUGGGAGGAAGGUCUAGUGGACUGGAACCAUUGUAUCUGUCGAUUAGUGGAGGCAAUCAUAUUUGUGAUCCUUGAGCUAAUGGUCUAGUAAGACUAUAAACUUGUUCAUAAUUAAAGCUGGCAAGAGGGUUCUUACCCCAGGUAAUGAGACAAGAGUGAACCACAGGAGGAAGCCAGCACAGAGACCGUAUGUAAUGAGUCCCUUCAUGGGAAAGGGAUGGAAAACAGUCCUCAGGCUAGCAGCAGAGGGAGUGCUGUCUGUUGUGGGUCUUGACCUGCUUAAGAGGUCUGACUUGAGGUGAGGCUGAAAGACAGCCCCGCUGGGGGCUUCAAGAUAACGAUGGACGGAUAGAGUUCUCUCACCGCUGAAUAUCUCCUAAGGCAUUAGUAAAACACUAUUUAAAUAUUUCCUCUGUAACUCAGUUGUGCUAUUAAAGCUCUGUUUCUCAAA
rnacentral:lncRNA from 1 species